AGCAGCCGCGGUAAUUCCAGCUGCAAUAGCGUAUAUUAAAGUUGUUGCAGUUAAAAAGCUCGUAGUUGAAUUUCGGGACUCUACCGUCGGUCGGGCUACCAAGUCUGUACUGGUGUGUAGAAUUUCUACCUUCUGGGGAACUAUCAUGUUAUUAAUUUAGCGUGGUGGGAAACCAGGACCUUUACCUUGAAAAAAAUAGAGUGUUCAAAGCAGGCUUAUGUCUGAAUACAUUAGCAUGGAAUAAUAGAAUAGGACGGUGGUCCUGUUUUGCUGGUUUCUGAAUCACCGUAAUGAUUAAUAGGGAUAGUUGGGGGCAUUAGUAUUCAAUUGUCAGAGGUGAAAUUCUUGGAUUUAUUGAAGACUAACUUCUGCGAAAGCAUUUGCCAAGGAUGUUUUCAUUAAUCAAGAACGAAAGUUAGGGGAUCGAAGACGAUCAGAUACCGUCGUAGUCUUAACCAUAAACUAUGCCGACUAGGGAUCGGACGAUGUUAAAUUUUAUUGAAUCG
rnacentral:rRNA from 1 species